UUCUUGGAGAGUUUGAUCCUGGCUCAGGACGAACGCUGGCGGCGUGCCUAAUACAUGCAAGUCGAGCGGAUCUUCAUUAGCUUGCUUUUGAAGAUCAGCGGCGGACGGGUGAGUAACACGUGGGCAACCUGCCUGUAAGACUGGGAUAACUUCGGGAAACCGGAGCUAAUACCGGAUAAUCCUUUCCCUCUCAUGAGGGAAAGCUGAAAGACGGUUUCGGCUGUCACUUACAGAUGGGCCCGCGGCGCAUUAGCUAGUUGGUGAGGUAACGGCUCACCAAGGCAACGAUGCGUA
rnacentral:rRNA from 1 species